rnacentral:misc_RNA from 1 species
AAGAUUAGGCCCUUGGGCUUAAAUCCUCCUCUUUGGCUGUGCGCCUCUGGGCUGCACGCCAUCGAGUAACCCUCACACACCAUGUGCACCCACAUUGGUUGCAGCGGGUCCACGGACCUGCCGCUCCCAAAAUCAUUUUACAUACAACCAGUCCAGAAUGUAACCAAACUAUAAAGUAA